CUUUUAGAUUGAACAUGUCUAUACUCGUCACAUGCUCAGAGACAUAUCUUUCCAUGAAAAGAAUCUGGACUUGAGGCUGGAUCUGUGCACCAAAAGAACUGUAACUACUUUUACUGAUGAUGACUUGGAAAGCCUCAAAUUUUUGAUAAAUUCUGCUAGAUGUUAGGCACCCAAUAAAAGAGUGUUUGAACAAGUUCCCUCGAAGGACUAGUACACCAUCUAGGGUUCACAGUCAAGCACAACAAGCUGAAGAAUAGCUACAACAUCAGCAACAGCAGCAGCAACAAUAGCAUCA